UAAAGGGAAACUCUUCUUUCUAUAAGAGAUACAGGAAAAAUGAUAUCAGUGUCUGAGGCUCGAUUUUUCUAAGAAACUUUAU